rnacentral:tRNA from 1 species
GCUGUAGCUCAGUGGUAGAGUUCUUGCCUAGCAUGUGUGAGGCACUGGGUUCCAUACUCAGCACUGCA